UACGUAGGGUGCAAGCGUUGUCCGGAAUUAUUGGGCGUAAAGAGCUCGUAGGCGGUCUGUCGCGUCUGCUGUGAAAACUCGGGGCUUAACCCCGGGCCUGCAGUGGGUACGGGCAGACUAGAGUGCGGUAGGGGAGACUGGAAUUCCUGGUGUAGCGGUGAAAUGCGCAGAUAAUCAGGAGGAACACCGGUGGCGAAGGCGGGUCUCUGGGCCGUAACUGACGCUGAGGAGCGAAAGCGUGGGUAGCAAACAGGA
rnacentral:rRNA from 1 species